GGGCAUCGGUAGACCGCUGACUCCCCUGUUCUGCAAGGUGAAUUGUUUUUUUUGGCUGCACCGCCUUUAGUCCAAAAUGGGUGCAUACUGAUUUCCAUCCACUGUGGGUAAUACCCUGAAUACGCAUGUGUAUUUGAGACAACGCCACUUGAAACAUCCGAACUACCCCUUUAAUGCCCAUACGAUGCUAUAGUGACAGACACACAAAGCAUUUGUGGACCUCAGUAGUGGUCCUCAACUAUAUAUGUUUAUUUAGGUGACACCUUAAAAUUCUAACUGUUAUCCUCCCCUUUUAUCUACCACAUUAUCCCUGAAGGCAUCGAGAUAACCGUGUCAAUAAAAAGUGUAACCACAAAGUGUCUUGUUGUUGGAUAGAUUCUUUACGGCCGGUCUGUGCCCAUAACCUAUAGCCUGCAACCUCCCCUAUUUACGCGCAGCGAUACGUUUACAUGUGCUCUGGUAACAUGCGUUCUGUAUAUGCUGACCUAAGUCCUGCUUUAGAGGUCACCUCUAAGCCUAUUGGGAUUUUCAAUGUUGAUGUUGGGGGCUAUUCUCUGGGCAAGAGCAUUAGCGAUGCUAAAAGCAGUAAUACCACCGGAGCCAACUCAGUUAUGACAAGAGCAGGAGAAGAAACGGGAGAAGGAGAGAACAGAGAGGGUUAACCUGAGGAAUAUGGACCUUUAGGAUUGCGGACAUGUUUGGCAGGUUGAAAAGUCUCUUCGGGAGCCCGCAGGUGCCAGUGGCUUCGGGGAUCACUGAUCCAGCUGCAGCUCCGGCUCUGGCUGUGGCUCCCGUUGAGGAGAAGCCGGCCGAUAAGGACAAGAAUGUGGACAAACCGCAGGCAGCAGCUCCAGCAGGACCACCAGCAGCAGCUCCUCCAGCAGGACCA